rnacentral:rRNA from 1 species
UUCCGUAGGUGAACCUGCGGAAGGAUCAUUAUCGAUGGCCGCGCCGUGAGCGCCUGGUGCAGGAUCGGCCGGCCACUGACCACACCCUUACUUUACGAGCACCUUUCGUUCUCCUUCGGCGGGGCAACCCGCCGCUGGACCCUCAUCAAACCUUUUUUUGCAUCUAGCAUUACCUGUUCUGAUAAAAAACAAUCGUAACAACUUUCAACAAUGGAUCUCUUGGCUCUGGCAUCGAUGAAGAACGCAGCGAAAUGCGAUAAGUAGUGUGAAUUGCAGAAUUCAGUGAAUCAUCGAAUCUUUGAACGCACAUUGCGCCCCUUGGUAUUCCAUGGGGCAUGCCUGUUCGAGCGUCAUCUACACCCUCAAGCUCUGCUUGGUGUUGGGCGUCUGUCCCGCCUCUGCGCGCGGACUCGCCCCAAAGGCAUUGGCAGCGGUCCACGGCCCCUCUCGCGCAGCACAUUGCGCUUCUCGAGGCGGCCCGGCCCGCAUCCACGAAGCCCACAUUACCGUCUUUGACCUCGGAUCAGGUAGGGAUACCCGCUGAACUUAAGCAUAUCAAUAAGGCGGAGGAA